rnacentral:rRNA from 1 species
GAUGAACGCUGGCGGCGUGCUUAACACAUGCAAGUCGAACGGAAAGGCCCAAGCUUGCUUGGUUGCUCGAUUGCCGCACGGGUGAGUAUCACACGGGUGAUCUGCCCUUCUCUUUGUGGUAAACCUGGGAAACUGGGUCUAAUAUCCGAUAGAAUCAUCGUUUCGUGUUGGUGCUGGAAAGUUUUUCGGUUUGGGUUGAGCUCGCGGCGUAUCCGCUUGUUGGUGGGGUAAUGGGUUACCAACGCGUCGACGGGUAGCCGGCCUGAGAGGGUGUACGGCCACAUUGAGACUGAGAGACGGCAGAGACACCGACGGGAGGCAGAAGUGGGGAAGAUUGAAGAAGGAGCGCAAGGCUGAUGCAGCGACGCCGCGUGGGGGAUGACGGUGUUCGGGUUGUAAACUAAUUGCGCAAAGGACGAAGCGUUUUGUGACGGUACUUGGAGAAGAAGCACCGGCUAACUACGUG